GGGGGCGUAGCUUAAUGGCAGAGCGGCUCUCCUGCAAAGAGUCAGGCCUCGGUUCAACCCCGAGCGCCUCCACCA
rnacentral:tRNA from 1 species